UGAAUGUGUGGAUGACUGGAAAUGUAAAGCGCUUUGGGGUCCUUAGGGACUAGUAAAGCGCUAUAUAAAUACAGGCCAUUUACCAUUCUAUGAUGCUUGAUGACAAACUAGCUGUUCUCAGGACACUCGAGCGCACAUCAUUCCUCUGGUUAGUUACAAAGUGCUAGAAUCAUUACUGCUAUAUUAACAAUGGGUUUUAUGGCUACAUGAAGUGUUCACCCAUUAUUAUCCCAGAAUUAUCACUCUUCAUGCAAGCAGUGGAUCCGGGAAAACUCAAAUGUUAAACAGGGCCUGCUUUUAAAAGUUGGUGGCGAACAAAGCAGAACUAAAAAUGCCAACGAAAAUAACAACAUUGACAUUUGGCCUUCUUUUGGCAGAGACCAAAUUCCAAAUAAAAGUUAAUGCAGCAAUGCAUUUGAUCAUUAUGUAAAUAGUUUUGCUGAUAAGUUUCUUUUUAUUUAUAAAAGUGUUGCUUUCACGGCUUUUUUUCUGCUGCCAGGAAUGUAUGUUUAGGGAACAAAUGUAAUUGUGUAAGGUGUUGUUUAAUGUCAUGUGUUUUGCUACAAACUUGUGUGGAUGCAUGAGGGGCAAUAGGAUACUUUGGUAUACAGCUGGAAGAGUCAGGAAUCCACUGACCUUCCCAUUUGUAGGCAACGUGCUAUACCACAACUGAGGGCGAGGACCCAAAAAGAAUAGAGGGGUCCAUGACCGUCUUAGGGGAGUGUCCCCUCUUGGGGUGGGACUCUCCACCAGUUGCUCCUAGAACUGAAGAAGCUUCUUGGCUGAGAGGUGAAACGUCUUCAAGAAACUUAAAGAAGUCCAGAUGCUUUUCUUUCCAAGCUCCUUAGACUACGAUGACCUGGAUGACUGAGAACCUCAUUCAUAUUCUCUACAGGGGUUUUGGUUAUGAGCCAUAAAAUCCGAAGUAGGGCUAUGACAUGGUGAAACAAUGGUAUGUGUCCUGAUAUCAACCUUGUUUUAAUAAAAACACCCUUUUAUUUGCAAUAUCACAGUAAAGAACUACUCUACCUACAAAAAGCAAGGAAGCACUGUAUCGUACUUCAUACACAACACAAACUGAAAAUAACUGUUAUACAGCACAACCAUAAUGAAAUGAUUAAAUUUGACAUGGUUGGAAGUCUUUUGUUGUGGAAUCUGAUUAGCAGUAUAGGUUUAGUUCCCUUACUGGACAGUAAAUGGACUGGUUCUGCUGCUAAGCACUCAAUAUAAACCACUCACCUCUACACUUUUGCUGUGCUUUUCUGUUGAAUAUUCACACUGCAGUGGAUGAAGCAGGGAGCAUCCAUCGGAGUUGGAGCUGCCAGGAAUUGAACCACCAACUUUCUGAGAUGUAGAUUUAGUAGAUGAGCUGCACUGCCUCCUGAGCUAAAGCCGACCCUGUUGUUGUGAUUUGGCGCCAUAUGAAUAAAAUUGAACUGAAAUCUUGUGAACAAAAAAAGAUUCAUAUCAAAUCUAAAUUAUGAAAAUUAAUUUAAAUUAAUGGCUGCAAUGUAUCUGAACGUAUUCCUAAAUGAUUUAUCAAAAGAUGAUUGAUUCAUUUGCAUCUUCCACACAAACAUUUAAUAUGAUUGUUUAUUGAACAUCAAAAACACAGUGGUUCCAUAUUUAGGCAGCAAGAGAAACGAUAUUGUGUAAUCUCAUUGGCCGACUCACAUUUGGACAGUUUUCGAGAGGGAGGAUAGAUGUUAUUAUGAUUUCAUGGCUCCUAGUAUUAUGAAAAGGAUUUUCAGAUUUGAAGCUACUGUCCACUGGAAACAAAAACUCAGCUGGGCGGCUAUUAAACUUUCCGUGAUUGUCACUAAUAUGCGCUGUGGAUAUGAGUAAGGACAAAUGUAAUAUAGAAGGAAUUAAAGGGCUUACCUCAGAAAAUUCUAUUCAAAGUUUUCAUUAUUUGUUAGUCUUCAUGAAAGCAAGCAAUUAAAAGAGUGCCCUCGAUCAUCAGUCGGCACAGAUACCAGGCUGUUUCGGUCCAAAUCUUUAAAAGCUUUGCUUGAAUUUAUAAGGAUAUGGUAACACAGUACACCAAGUAAGAGAGGGAAAGCGUCCUAUAAAACUGCAUUAUAGAGAUAUAAGUAAUCAGUGCAACACCACAUGAUUUAGCACUCUUAAAUGAAGAACAACACUGAUACUGAUCUAAUCGCUGGUUCUCUGUAAUUACUCAUUCAUCAGCUGUUAGCAGGAGUGAUAAAGACCAUCCAGGAUUAUCUAUCUCUCCAAAAAUCCGGAAAAGAUUAGGUCAUUGCAUCCACUGAGCUAUUUUUAAAGCUCUUAACGGUGGCAUAUUAAACAAAACGCUUAGAAAUUCAAUUAAGAAACCACUCAGCCACAAUGACCUGAAAAUAACCCAGAGUUAUUCUAAAACAAAGGCUCUGCCGACCAGCCGCUGUGCCGCUUCACAUGUGGGUUGGAAAAAGGAGUGCUUUAAAACCACAGAUUUUUAGGGGCUGUGGAGAUUAAUGAAGAGUUUCUUUUUCCAGGUGUUGUAUUGUGGAUACAAGAGCUUUGGGUGGUGAAUUUUUACCAAGGCUAGAAAUCCAUGUGGUAGAAAUGAAAACAGUAACACAAUAUACAGCUCUGAUCCGGCUCACGGCUUAGAUGCGAGAACAGGAGGGCAUUCCAGACUCGAGAGAAAGGAUGCAAGGAAGGGAUCGUUCUCAGAUAUCGAUCACAUGUACUACAUUCAUAUUAGUGAAAGUGCCAUGUAUUCCCGAAGGACCUCUUUAACUUCAGGGAAGUGUUUUAAUGGUUUUCACAACCCCUUUGCCCUCAAACCCUUUAAUAACACAGUUGGACACCCUGGUAUAAAUAUCAAUAAAGGAAAUAUCUUAGUCCAUCCUAUAAUUUUAUCCACAUGCGUCUGUCAUCAUCAGCACUUCCAGGGGCUGUUAGUCAUCUUCUACUGCUUUCAUUGGCAGUUUAAAGCUGCCACAUGGGUUUCUGAUUUUAAUGUAAGAUGACCCCCAGCCUGACAGUCUGUUAGGCAUGAACAGAAUUGCACCUCAACAGUAAAAAAGCCAAACCCUUCUGAUCGCUUUCUCACUUUGAAAGAAAAUUUACAAAACUAAUCAUUACAAGACUAAAGUACAGACUAAUUAGUGUGGAUAAAAUGGACAAGAUUGAGCAUUUGCUCCAUUCCUCUUGGCUUUCAGAAUUUAGAUUUAUUUUACUGGGCUAAAUUUUGAAUUAAGGCGUUAAUUGUAAAUGUGCACUCAUUACAUUUGCUGUAGAUAUAAGGGAAAAUUAGGAGCUAAACAAAGCUGGGGCAACAGUUUGCUGACCUGCGAUGACCAUGCAACAGCAGAUUAUCCCAGGUUCAAUUGGGGUUCACAUUAGUUUCAUGGUUGGGUGUUGGCCCACAAGUCCACAAAUGAGGACCGACAUCACUCACAGCAUGCAGAAAGACAGCAACACAAUACUGAAAGGAAGCGCUUGUUUGCCAAAUGUAGAUACAGUGUUUUUCUGAGGGACCUGUGGAUACCAGGUUUAGGAUAUUACCAUGUGUCUUUGGAUGAGAGAAAUUGCAUCUGUGUAUUAAUGGCUGUGCACAUUUUUUAAAGAUCCAGUAGAUGGGGUUUCACCUUCCUAAAGUAAACUGGAGGAAAAGAAGUUCUGGUCUCUCACAACUGUGACAAGAAAUAAAAACAUCCUGUAAUGCUUUGGUCAAGCAAGCACAAGACCAGAGAAAAUGUAAAUGACAAACAACAACAACAGAAAGCUACAUAUAGAAAUUUGUCCAACUAACUCUCUGUGAUUCCUCUAAUCAGUGGUUGCUAGUCUGUGUCUAUUGUGACUACUGUACAAUGAUAACUUUUUGCUUGAAAGGUGCAGACACAAACCAUUUACCUGGACUGUUACUACCUUUUCUGUAUGAAGUCAUGGCAAAUGGGGAACUAUUCACAUCCUCUCACCCAUAAACAAACAUGUUGCCAAAUGUCUGUGACAGAGGUGAAGAGGUAACAUUGCCGUAUUAAUGUAAAAUAGAUCAUUCCUGUAAUUCCUCUGAUGUUGGAUGUGACUCUGGAUGUAACUGUCUUGACUGGGACUGGACUUUCUUGACUUGUCUUAACAUUGAACUUGGCUCUUGCUAUAACUAUAUACACUCGUCUCCCAUGUUAUUAGGUACACCUAAUAUAUAUUUGAUAAUGCAGAUAUCUAAUCGUCCAGUCAAAGUGCAUUAAAUUAUUGCAUUUAGAGAUGUAGACAUGGGCAAGACAUGGACAAGUUCAAUCCAAGCAUCAGAAUAGGGAAGAAAGAUGAUUCAAGUGACAUAUGUGGCAUCAUUGUUGGUUCCAGGCAGGCUGGUCUGAGUUUUUCAGAAACUGUUAAUCUACUGGGAUUUUUCCACACUCCCAUUUGUGGAUUUUAGGGCGUCAAGGUGUGAUUAUGUCAGCAUGGUCCAAACAGGAUCUAAACAGAAUCCAACCACCUUAGCUUGCUUUGUAACUCGAGACUGGACUGCUUUGCCUUAUUUGCCUUGAACUGUGCUUCAAGACUCUACACUGUCUUGAUCUGGCAACUUUGUUGCAUUACUCUUCAGGCUGAUGUUGUCUAACUAUCAUGGCUUGGGACUCAAGACUUCAGGACUAUAACUGGUGAACAGUGAAUUAUGUUUAGGGCUUGAGGUGUUAUGGGACUCGGAACUUAACCCUCCUGUCUUAGUAUGGAACAUACUAGAUAUAACUGUCUUGCCCAGGUUUGUGAGUAAACAAAGACUUUGUAUAUUCCUUUAACUGAUGGGAACUGGUAGAAAAGCUACUUACUUAAAACUUAAACCUAUUGUGCCCACUAUAGUAUGGAAGAUUGAUGAAUAGGAACCUGCUAUGUACAUUGCACUGAUGCCACAUCCCUGUAUUGACAUGCAAACCUUUCACCUCUCAGUGAUAUUUGCAGUCCUCAAGUGCAAAAAUGUAGACUGUAGGUUUGUUUUUGUUGAACAUACGAAUCCAUCUGUUUAACUGCAGUCGCAGAUCAUGAAAAUAUCACAUUAAAGUCUUUCUUCUAGACUGUUAAUGCCCACUACAAAUGUAACUUAUAACCCCAAAUUAUGAAUAAAUAGAAAAAAAGAUUUUGGAUCAGCCAAGUACAAAAGGUCCUGCUUCUAAUAACUGUGAUCACAGUCAUGUAUUAAGGUGCACAACACGAGCAGAGGAGGGUUGCAUGCAAGGUGAAAUCAUUCUCAGCUCUGUUCCACCUUGCUUUCCCCGCCAUCCUUGUGUUGUGAAUAAUAAAAAAGAAGAAUUCAUUUUAUGGUUUUACUAGUCAGCAACCCAGGUAUGCAUUUGUCAAAAUAGGAGGAAAGUUAGAACCAUAUGUUAAUUUGAAUGUGCGGCACCUGGUUGUGAUUAAGGUCAUGCUGUGGAUGAUAGAAACACAUUGUGCUCUCCCAGAAUACAGCCCAAUGGACACUGCAACAUUGACUCAAAUCGGAGUAAAAACAUUUAAAAAAUCUAAAGGAUUCCUUUUAAUGAACAGAGUGAUUCACAGGCUUACUAAGAAUACAUAUGCCAUAAUUCUGAGUGUGUUGAUGGACAGCGAAGAAUCUCCAUAUAAAAAGCUAAUUUUCCAUAAAUUACAAUGCAAUUUACUUUACAACUUCUCUCUCAGUAUGUGGGCUUGUUUGAAUGUGAGUUCUUUUCUUCUUUGAGGCCACAAAGAUCUUAAGCUGAAGAGUGGGUUUUUUAGGUUGUUCAGUUUUGAAUUUAAGAUUUAUGUCAGAUGGCAAAUGUUCAACAGGUGUUACAAAUAAAAUAUGGAGAAACAAAUGUUUUGUCAAACAGCAUAUUUCUGUUAAGUCUUUUGUUUCGUAGAGCUAGAAGACUCAAAACUGCAAAGUGCAACUGCCAAACAGAAACAUGACAGAAAGAUUAAGUUUGACAGAGGUUAAACACAUUUGGGCUUUGCUGCCAAAUCAGAUUUCUUUCGAAAAUCGAAUCUUUAAGGCAGACUGUCUGUACAAUUAUUUGCAAGUGGUUAGAUUGGAUCUGUGAGGACGAUACCACUUACCUAUCCACAUGGAUUGCUGUGUAUGAAGGUAUACCUCCUUCAUUCCAUGUCACUCAUAUCUCUUGGUGGCCUUUGGACAGACAAGGCUAAAGUUGAGACGUUUGGCAAUCUCACCAAUGAAUUCUGUAAUGUCUUGGAUCUUUAGACUUGGCUUGGGACUCCUUGUUUUCCAUGUAUGUUGAUCACAUUUUUAUGAUUAACCUGACUAAGGUACUGCAGUGUAUGUUAAUAUAUCUUUGAUUAUAUAUCGAUUGUGAUGUGAUAUGAUUGUGUUACACUGUGAAACUAGAGAGUAGGCAGUAUUAGAUUUGAAGAGGUCAUGUUUAUUGGGAUAUACAUGAGCUAUUGUAUUAUAGCCAGUGUAUGUACAUUUUAAUCAGCAGUACGUUUGUGCAUAAGUGUUACGUCCCUCUGCAGCCCCUAAUCAUCUCAAUGUGUUCAGCUGGUGCUAAUUGGCCACACCUAGUCAGCUGUGAAUAAAAGCACACCUGAGGCAAGCUUCCUGGGGAGCUCACUUGUCUUUGCCUUGGUGGCACCAGCCAUUUUAAGAUGAAACCUCGUCUCACUAACACUCUGGUAUUCAUCUCUCUUCUUUUUUUUUACGUUGCGGCCUUUGAGCCGGGUCGUAACAUAAGCUUGUGUAAGUUUUUAUGUAAACAAGAACUUGAAACUUUAGCUUAUGUCGGAGAGCCAGAUAUUUUUGUUGGAGGGGCUCUUUUACUGGUGUUGGAUCCUAGUAGUCACAGUGACAAGCCGACUGAGAAAUUAUGUUUUCAGAGCUUUUACAAUGUCAAAGUAUUAGCUUUAGUGACACUAGCUCCACUUUUCAGGGUUGAAAGUUUCUUCACAGUAUUGCCUUGAAGUAUUGUUUCAGUGGUAAUGCUACAGUCACAACUGCAGCAUUACCAAAAUUAUUGCUACCAUAUGCAAUCUUGCAAUAUUGUUGCCUAUGAAACAGUUGCUUCAAAGGCCACAUCCGCCACCACCACUUGUCGUCUUCAAAGCAACUUUGGUCCAUUAAGAUGGCAAUCGGACCAUGCCAGUCUUGGCAGCAAGAACUGCAAUCAAUCAUUUGUAAUAAUUUCAAUGAAUCUUUUACAUCGCUGUGAAGGAAUUUUGCCCACUCUUUGUAGAAUUGUUUAAUUCAGUCCCAUUGGUUGUUUUUAAAUCAUCCAUUUAAGGUAAUGCCAAAGAAUUUUAAUUAUAUUUAAGUCCAGACUUUGACCAGGCUCCUCCAAAACCUCCCUUUUUUUUCCCUUUUUUUUUAGGCAUUCAGAUUCAGCCUGGCAUCUUCCAUGCAAUAUAAUGUGUGAGUGAAGUAAUCUGCUAGCGACCAAAGAAAUAACAAGGAGGUUUUUGGUGCGGCACCGUCUUUGACCAGAGCUUGCCAGGGAGUGUCCGACCAGUAUAAGCCUGUGUGACUGGAACCUUAUGAGUGUGCAGAGUCCCUCAGUUUCUUAAUCAAAUUUGCACCUCACUCAUGACUUUAACAAUGGUGACAGUGGAAAUGCUCAACUUGAGGCUUUGGAAUAGGACUUCGCAAACUACACUUAAAAAAUUAUUAUUUAAAUGAACAUAAAAAAUAAUGGAAAGGAUUUUAGGAUUAUGCAGUUCUGUUAUUCCAGCUUAUCAACUUCUUUUCUGCAGUUCAGUCCAACUCGACAAGAAUAAAUUAAUAAAUUAAUUUCAUGCAGAUCCUGCAUGAUUUAGUUACGUUGACCAUAGAAACAUUUUUUGUUCAAAUUACAAGUUAGACUCUUGUAAAUGUAACAACGUCAUUUUGAGUGCUAUGGAUUUAUAUAUCCAUCUUUUUUAUACAUUGUUCUAUUGUUACUAAAAUAACUACUUGAAUAGAAGCUAAAAGUUACAUCCUAACAGCAUAAAAAGGAAUUUUUAGAAUCUUUUUGUCAAAGCAUUUACUCUAAUCCACCACAUUUUGGCAUAAAUGGCAUUAACACUUAAAACCUCAAGGAUUUAUUUUUAGUUUAGGCAAAUUUUAUCCUUUUUUUUUUACUCAAAAAUGCUAUCUGAUAGUUUCCAUUAUGUAUCACCUAGUCUAAAUUUUUUUAUCAUUUGGUGCUGAACGUGGAAUGGAGAGUACCUGUGCCCUUUGUACAAAACAUAUUGACGAGGGAUACUUUAAGAAUUCAACCAUUCUGUCUGUAAUUAUCUAAUGGUUCUGUCACACUAGAGUAAAACUAGGAUGGCAACCAUCUUUGUGACCUGGAAAAAUAUGCAGCUGCAAUAUAAUUGCAUUGAAUUUGUAACUGUUGAUCCAGAGGUGGCCACCCAGUGGUUGAGCAUGAAAAAACCCUCAACAUCAUGUGUACUAGGCAAUCACACCUAUGUCAUUUUGUAAUUAAGUCGUCUUCCUACAGCAACUGUGUCACUAUCUCUGGAGGAAACUAUGAUGUUCUGUCGACUCUGAAUGUAACUAGCUACCGUGGAUUUCUAUAGAAUAUGAGUUUCAACAGAAGGCAACAAAUUUGCAAUUUUGCUGAUUUAGUUAGUCAUGUUAUCACACACAGAUUACAUGUGAUUGUCAACUUGACCACAUUCAUUCACAAACUGAAAGCAGGCUGAUAGCAGGCUAACUCAAUAUUACUGCCAUUUUAUUGGUGUCUUGAUGCAACAAAGUUCCUUUGAAGACUGCAGCUGACUGUGAACGGUCCUACCUUUGAAGCAAUCAUUUCAAAAAAGUUCAUUGAUACAGGUGCAAUAGUUUUGGUCUUGCCCCAUCCUCCAACCAUUUUCCUUUUUUCAGGCUCAAAACACUUUGACGUGCUGUACCAAAGGACUAAUCUGACUUAAGCAUGCUGGAAAUCUAUGCCGUAAACUUCCAAGCCAUUGUAAGUUAUGAUGUAGAUUUCCAGCAGAAGUCUAAAUCAGGUCUCACUCACUGUGACUCACCCACAUUGGGAUGAUUCAUCCCAAUACUGCUCACUGUGAAAGUGGUCAGUGUUGGGAUUAAUAAGCUUCACUAUGCAUUGCUCAGAUUCUUCCUUUUGUUAUAAAUGUUGCUUAUGCCAAAUGCAACAUGGCACUGAGGGUCAUAUUUUUAAAGGUUUCACCUGACGAAAUACUAACAUUCAUAUUUAGAUUUUUACCUGAGCCAGUUGUCUGGCAACUAUUUAAUAUAUAUUUUCUUCGAUUAGUGCUCAGAACAGCAAUCAAAUUUCAUAAUUUCCUGUUUAUGUACACUGUGCUUCCUUUUUAACACACCUUGGAAAUUUAAUUAAAAUGAAAUGGGCGCUGGAACAGGUAUCUGAGUUUUGAUCCACUGUUUAUAUGCUUUGAUAUAGAUGACUGUUAAAUGAUACUAAGCUUUAUGUCAGUUGGCUUUACUGUGAAAUAAUGAACUAGAGAUUUUACUUCUAAUCUGAAGAGAGGAAUGAGGUCAAACUGUGAAGGCUGGCAAUACUGGAACAUGAAAAUGUACUUUCCUCAAACUAUACGUGCAUUGUCUUAGAUGGUACAUGUACCAUUUAAGCACAUUUCUAGCCAUCACCAUCAUCAUUUUUUCUGCAGUGGAUGUCUAGCAAUUAAUCGCUACCAAGCAGUGUCUGUCUUAACUACUCCCUAACAGCCUUUGCCAUUUGAUCCUUGCCUCUUGCGUUCACUCUGAUGACCCUCCUCAUUACUACUGAUUCUAUUUGGUGGCACCUCACUACAUCCUCCCCUGCUACCACCUUAAAAUCUCCAGAUUCUUUUAGCUUUGCCAUGUUUUAUAGCAUAUAGUCCAACUGUGUGCACCUUUUCCCUGUUUCUCCUUGUACAUCCCAUCCUAUCUGACAGUUUAUAAGCUUUAGCAGUAAUAUUGCCAGCAUUUAUGGUUCCACCUUUCAUUUCACACUGUCCGUAGCCUUCGCCCAGAAGUCGCCAUCCAUUCAUCAAUUUUCUUCUGCUUAUCCGGGGCCAAGUCGUGGGGGAAGCUGACCUGUAGUGUUCUCCUGAACAAUAGGUGUCACCCCUCAGUAUUGCACCCAAAACUGCCACAUCAGUGCUGAUAUAAGAAGAGAAAAAGUGCAGGAAGUAUCAUCUUUCUGAAGCUGAUGCAGCAUUUCCCUCUGUGAAUCGGUGACCUUCUGUACUGAUAUGUCAUAAAAAUCAUGCUAAAAACUGAAAAGAUUGUGUACUCGUGUUUCAACAUCUCAACAUCAAAAGCAUCUCUGCUAUUUGUCCUGUUCUCUAAUUCAUGGACAAACAAUCACAGCUGGUCAGGUUAGAGUACUUUUUACCUCCUGUCUCUACUAAAAUGUAUCAUUCAUCACUGUACCUGUACAUUAUGUUUUAUUCAGUCAUGGACAGGUGUAAUUCUUUAACUAAAAUCAACAAUAAUAAAGUACCCCAUUCAGUUCCUCUGCCGUCCUCUCUCUUGUGAGAUCUCUAACCUGCAGAGUCUGAGCCAACAGCAGACCUCUCCAGAGAAUUUCGGGCAGCCGUCCCCACAGGCUGUGAGUAUUCCUGUGUUUGACAGACAGGAAUGAUAAGAGUUGCCAAGCAUCACGUUCCCAGUCAUUGUGCAGCCAAAUCCUGCAGUACAAUACGAGGUCACACUUGAUACAUUCAGUCUGACUACUUUUUGCCAAUAGAAGAGUUGACUUUGCUUGUCUGCCUGUUCCUGUGUGUUAAAUGUCAAGGUAGUAUUAUUUUUUUAGAAAUACAUUUUUUAAUUAACAAACAAGACUGAAAAAGUAAAUGUUGUAUUUUCUAAUGAAAGGAAAAAGUCAGAAAAAACAUUCACUCGGAGAGAAAGAAAGGAAGGUUCUUGUUAUCUGUUUCACUAAUGGCCUGACUAAUGGAAUGGACACACAAAGACAGAUAAAGCCAGUGGUCUGUCUGCAGAACUCACUUGCUGUCUUCUAUUUCCUUGCCUUACAAGAUGCAUGCUGUCUGCUUCUGAGAGUUGUUUAUCUGACCAAUUGCAACUUAGAACACGUCAAGAAACCCAAGCAUUUCUGAGCUGUCAGUCAAGCUGAUGAAGAGGACAGUUUGCAGGUUUGUGUAAAGUAUGCAGAGGUUGAAAGUCCUCCUUGUCAGCACGGCAGCAAGUGUCUCACAUCGCACGCAAGUAUAGAGCACAGAUGACGGGUGUCUGCAUAUGUGAUGAUGUCUGCAUGUGUGUGAAUUCAUACGCACAACCCUAAGAGGUUAAGAUAGGCAUCUGUUUCCACCAAACAGAGGCUCUUUAGACAGCUGUCACCUUCAGAGGUGUUAUCAGACUGUUGUCUGCUCUUGCACUGUUUGUCUCCAUUAGGAGUUUGUGCAUUUAUGAUUAAGACGAUAAAACCAGUGUUGAGUUGGAACACAGAAUAAACUGAAAAAUCACAAGGACCGAAAUAGGAAAAAAACAGGACAUCUCAUGACAUACCCCAUAUACUGGAAAAAGUUUUCAUUAAUAGACUUGACAAAUUUAUAGAUAAACAUAAAAUAAUAAUGGACAGUCAGUAUGUUUUCAGACCAAAUAGAUCAACAUCCAUGGCAUUAAUGGAACUAAUUGAAAAUAUCACCAACAAUAUAGAUCAGAGACAAUGCACAGUUGGUGUUUUCAUUGACCUAAAAAAAAGCUUUUGACACAAUUAAUCAUAAAAUAUUACUUGAUAAACUGGAGUACUGUGGCAUUAGAGGAGUGGUGCUAGAGUGGGUAAGGAGUUAUUUGACAGACAGGCAGCAAUUUGUGAAGAUUGGUGAAUAUCAAUCAGAGUGCCUGGACUGUUUGUGGAGUUCCACAGGGGUCAGUAACAAGUUAUCACUAAAUUUGAAAGAAAAAAAAACUACAUUUAUGUUAUUUGGAAAUUGUAAAAAAAGAUGCUGGAGCAAAAUUGUUAAUAAAUAAUGUUGAAGUACAGCAAGUUUCUCAUACAAAAUUUCUGGGUGCGAUAAUAGACAACAAAAUGUGCUAGAAACCUCACAUAAAGCAUAUACAAGCUAAUGUUCAAGCAUUAGUUCAUAAAGAUGUUUUGAAAACUGCUUUUGGAAGAAUAUGAAACUGAUAAAGUUGAUCACCCAUUGUAUAUAUAUAACUAUGCUAAAUUGUAUCUAAAUUAUAUCUGUCACUGUAGCUAUGUUUACACAUGUCCUCCUUGUUUAUUGUGUGGGGUAAGUGAUGAUGGGAAUUAGGGGUAACAAUGAAUAGUGGGAUUCAAUAGAAUGUUGAGCAUGGGGUAGGGAUUAAUAAGUAUGUUAUACUUCUUCCUCCAUUUCAGACUUAAUAAUUGUCAUUUCAUGUCAUUUGUUUUGUCUGAGCACAUACGUGUGUGUAUUUACAUAUAUAUUCGUAUUUGUAAAUGCAAGUACGUGUACAUAUUGUUUUUCUGUAUAUGUCUGUGUGAUGGACCGAGCAGUGAAGGAAACUUAGGCACAGGUUAAAAUCCAAAAAAAUGAUUUUUUUAUUUAACCCAAAAAACAUAAUUGGUUAACUCAUGCAAAAAGAAUCAAAAUCUUGGGCCCAUAAAAGAGGUCAAAAUAACAAAACUCUACUCAAAGUUGACAACACAACUGAUAAUUCAUACAAACUGACCUAACUUAAUGAGACAAAGGGGAAACUUAAAUAGUGGCUGAUCAGCCCACAAAAACAGGAGAAGGGGUAAAACACACAAAACCUAACUAAACCAAACAUAAUGAACUCCAAUUCCCCCCCAUGGUCCUGAGUUAUGGCGUGAACCAAUUUGUAGUCUUCCUUUAAAGCUCGCUCCGCCCCUUUUCCACCUCUUGGCUCCUUAAUCAAGGGACUGGAACAGCUGCAACUAAGGUAACUCA